rnacentral:rRNA from 1 species
CUCAGUUCGGACUGUAGGCUGCAACUCGCCUACACGAAGUCGGAAUCGCUAGUAAUCGCGGAUCAGCAUGCCGCGGUGAGUACGUUCCCGGGCCUUGUACACACCGCCCGUCACACCAUGGGAGUUUGUAACGCCCAAAGUCGGUGGCCUAACCUUUAUGGAGGGAGCCGCCUAAGGCGGGACAGAUGACUGGGGUGAAGUCGUAACAAGGUACC